GAUGAACGCUGGCGGCGUGCUUAACACAUGCAAGUCGAACGGUGAACGAGGGAGCUUGCUCCCUCCGGAUCAGUGGCGAACGGGUGAGUAACACGUGAGCAAUCUGCCCUGGACUCUGGGAUAAGCGUUGGAAACGACGUCUAAUACCGGAUACGAGACGCGAAGGCAUCUUCAGCGUCUGGAAAGAACUUCGGUCCAGGAUGAGCUCGCGGCCUAUCAGGUAGUUGGUGAGGUAACGGCUCACCAAGCCUACGACGGGUAGCCGGCCUGAGAGGGUGACCGGCCACACUGGGACUGAGACACGGCCCAGACUCCUACGGGAGGCAGCAGUGGGAAUAUUGCACAAUGGGCGCAAGCCUGAUGCAGCAACGCCGCGUGAGGGACGACGGCCUUCGGGUUGUAAACCUCUUUUAGCAGGGAAGAAGCGAAAGUGACGGUACCUGCAGAAAAAGCACCGGCUAACUACGUGCCAGCCGCCGCGGUAAAAC
rnacentral:rRNA from 1 species